UGUCCUGUAGCUCAGUGGUUAGAGCACUCGCUUUCCAAGUGAGAGACCUGGGUUCAAUUCCCGGCAGGGUAA
rnacentral:tRNA from 1 species